rnacentral:rRNA from 1 species
GGACGAACGCUGGCGGCGUGCCUAAUACAUGCAAGUCGAACGGUCUUUCUAUGGAAGCUUGCUUCCGCUGAGAAGAUAGUGGCGAACGGGUGAGUAACACGUGGGUAACCUGCCCAUAAGAGGGGGGAUAACAUCCGGAAACGGGUGCUAAUACCGCAUAGUUUUCUUGAUCGCAUGAUCGGAAAGGAAAGACGGCCUUUGUGCUGUCGCUUAUGGAUGGACCCGCGGCGUAUUAGUUAGUUGGUGAGGUAACGGCUCACCAAGACGAUGAUACGUAGCCGACCUGAGAGGGUGAUCGGCCACAUUGGGACCUGAGACACGGCCCAAACUCCUACGGGAGGCAGCAGUAGGGAAUCUUCCGCAAUGGACGAAAGUCUGACGGAGCAACGCCGCGUGAGUGAAGAAAAGGUUUUCGGAUCGUAAAACUCUGUUGUCAGAGAAGAACAAGUUGGAGAGUAACUGCUCCAGCCUUGACGGCAUCUGACCAGAAAGCCACGGCUAACUACGUGCCAGCCGCCGC